UUUUGAGUGUAAAUAGCUUGUCUAGAUGCCGGGGGACUACGAGAGGACAGUCUUAAAAUCCAAAAAGCCUGGCGGUGUCUAAGACUCUUCAGGGGAACUUGUCUCUGAAUCGAUGAUCCACGAAGGACCUUACCUUGUUUUGUACUUCUGCUUGCAUACCGUCGUCGUCAGUCUUUGUUAAUAAGAUGAAAGAAGAAGGCGAACAAAAACCAUUGUUUUUAAUGUCAGAUCAGGGUACAGCUAAUAGCAAGGGGGGGGUGAGUUACAAUUAGGAGUUAUAAGACGGAAGAUUUAGGGAAGACAGCUUUAUCUGAAGGAGGACUUGAAAGUAAAGAUAAUUUAUAUAAAUUUCUUGAACAUAGUUAGGACGUGUACAAAUCGCCCGUCGCUUUCAUUGAAAAGUGAAAUAAGUCGUAACAUAGUAGGGGUAACGGAAGUUGUCCCUAGACAA
rnacentral:rRNA from 1 species